rnacentral:rRNA from 1 species
GAUGAACGCUGGCGGCGUGCCUAAUACAUGCAAGUCGAGCGAACAGACGAGGAGCUUGCUCCUCUGACGUUAGCGGCGGACGGGUGAGUAACACGUGGAUAACCUACCUAUAAGACUGGGAUAACUUCGGUAAACCGGAGCUAAUACCGGAUAAUAUAUUGAACCGCAUGGUUCAAUAGUGAAAGACGGUUUUGCUGUCACUUAUAGAUGGAUCCGCGCCGCAUUAGCUAGUUGGUAAGGUAACGGCUUACCAAGGCAACGAUGCGUAGCCGACCUGAGAGGGGGAUCGGCCAAACUGGAACUGAGAAACGGGCCAGACUCCUACGGGAGGCAGCAGUAGGGAAUCUUCCGCAAUGGGCGAAAGCCUGACGGAGCAACGCCGCGUGAGUGAUGAAGGUCUUCGGAUCGUAAAACUCUGUUAUUAGGGAAGAACAAAUGUGUAAGUAACUAUGCACGUCUUGACGGUACCUAAGCAGAAAGCCACGGCUAACUACGU